rnacentral:rRNA from 1 species
CCCAGAUCGUUUACCGUGAAAAAAUUAGAGUGUUCAAAGCAGGCAGAUCCAAUUUUCUGCCACCGAAUACAUUAGCAUGGGAUAAUGGAAUAGGACCCUGUCCUCCUAUUUUCAGUUGGUUUGCCGCGAGGACCAGGGUAAUGAUUAAUAGGGAUAGUUGGGGGCAUUAAUAUUUAAUUGUCAGAGGUGAAAUUCUUGGAUUUAUGAAAGAUUAACUUCUGCGAAAGCAUCUGCCAAGGAUGUUUUCAUUAAUCAAGAACGAAAGUUAGGGGAUCGAAGACGAUCAGAUACCGUCGUAGUCUUAACCAUAAACGAUGCCGACCAGCGAUUAGGAGACGUUGAAUACAAAACACCACCAUGCGCAUUGCGGUCGUCUUUGGUGUCGCUCACAAGGCGGCACCGGGGCGGCUUAGCUCGCAUGGCACCGGUGAAUGACUCCCCUUGACUCCCCUAGCAGCUUGUGAGA